rnacentral:rRNA from 1 species
GAAUGCUGACAUAAGUAACGAUAAAGCGGGUGAAAAGCCCGCUCGCCGGAAGACCAAGGGUUCCUGUCCAACGUUAAUCGGGGCAGGGUGAGUCGACCCCUAAGGCGAGGCCGAAAGGCGUAGUCGAUGGGAAACAGGUUAAUAUUCCUGUACUUGGUGUUACUGCGAAGGGGGGACGGAGAAGGCUAUGUUGGCCGGGCGACGGUUGUCCCGGUUUAAGCGUGUAGGCUGAUUUUCCAGGCAAAUCCGGAAAAUCAAGGCUGAGGCGUGAUGACGAGGCACUACGGUGCUGAAGCAACAAAUGCCCUGCUUCCAGGAAAAGCCUCUAAGCAUCAGGUAACAUCAAAUCGUACCC